rnacentral:lncRNA from 1 species
CAUUUUAGUCCUUCAAAAAAUUUCAAUCUUCAUUUUUAUCUCUAUUUUUAAGUUAACUAUUGUUUAGCCUUUAUACUUUUAAAUUAAAAUUUUCAGAAUAAAUAUUAUAAGAAUCUCUCAUAAAAAAAAAUAUUUUAACAAAACAUGAGUUACUUAUAAAUUUUUAAGCUAUAAGAACAUAAAAAAAAAAAAUAUAUCAUAUUUAAGUUAGAAUUGGACCAAUUGAGUCUAUAACUUUAAAGGUGUGUUUGGUUGUGAGAAGAAACAAAUAGAUGAGAGAGAGUAUGAGAAGAAACAAAUAGAUAACAAGCUUAUUUGAAUUUAACACUUCUUGCGUUACAACAAAUUUCUUGUAAUGUUGCCGAAUGAUUGUUGUGUUGAUGAUAAGUCGUCACUAAUUGGGAGUAACCCUUAUGAUGUAAAGCAUGUUCUGUAUAUUCUGUUAUACAUUUAUGAUAGGAAUUUAAUGUCUGAUUCCCCAUAUAUGCAUAAACAUUUCUAAUCAUAUGCAAUAUCUCAAAUAUAUUAUAAGCAUAUGUAACUCAUUAUUCUCAAGAAUAUGGCUUUGUAUAUGUAAACAUUUACUCAUUUUGGCAGCUACGUAUUCUUAAACACGUAAGCAGAUACGAAACAAUUAUAAACAAAAACAUCACUUCAUUUUUAUGGAAAAAUAUAUGAAAAGAGAGAGGUGUCAUUACCUCGAUUAGCUUUUCGUCUAAACAAAUACGUCUUUCUCUCUUUUAUCUCAUUUAGUCAUCAAAGUCCCUCAAAGCAAAGGCAUUUCUUUCCCCUAUCACUAAUUUUUCCAACUCUCACUCAUAAUUUCUCAUAAUCUCACUUGUCUCUCAAAGUUCACAAAACCAAGGCUCAAGAGAAAGGAACGCGAGAAUGAAGAAGUAGAGAGAUGAUUGGACUUGAGAAAGAGCAAGACAACUUGACCAUUUCCUACUAUGGGAAGCCACGGUUUUGAAGGUUAAGAAUAAGCCUAAGAUAUAUUAUUACUGUUAAGAUUAUUAUCGGUUAUGAGGAAUGCAUAUGAAAUUUGGAUGUUUUUAUGCUUUUCUUUUACUUAUAUUGUAUUGAUUAUGUAAGAACCAUGAAUUUAGUAUGGAUUAGGUAUGAUUUAUAAAAUUUGAAUGCAUUAUUUAUGGAUGUUUAGUAUUGAAGUUUUUGGUAACUAAAAAAAAGUUCUUUGUACCAAAAAAUAAAAAAAUUAACAGUCCAUAGGUAUUCAUGAAUACUCGUGGAUACCUCAAUACCCACGGGUUACCCGUAUAGUGGAUACCUACACGGGUACAGAAUGGGCAUUAAUAUCAUAUUUAUUCAACGAGACAGGUACGAGUAUCAUACUAUCCGUACUCAUGGAUACCCAUUGACAUCUCUAAUUUGGACAUAUACUUUUUUAGAAUUGUGAUAUAUUGCGUGAGUGAUGGAGUAUUUAUAUAUAUAUUCAUUUUUUUUUUAAGGAAUUUAUAUAUUCAAUGAUUGUGUUGUAUCACUGUAUCAUAUCUAAUAUGAAAAUAUGUCUUAGUAUGACAUUUUAUAUAUUUAGCAAUAUUAUAGACACAUUUAUAUGUAUGUGUUAAUACGCUGUAUUGUUAUCUCAAUCUCAAGUUCGUUUCAUUGUACCUUUGAUCUUUCGUCAUGUUUGCAUAUGAAAUUUCAAUUUUCAAAUGAUUUUUUUUGGCAUAUAAUAUAUUUCAGAUCAAGAGCUGACAAAUAAAAAAACCUAGAUUUCAAGCCUGAAAUUCAUAUCAAAACAUAGGUGAAUGACCAACAUGACGUGAAAAAAACAUAAACGAUAAAAUUGUUAUCUAACAGGACCACCAUAAUAUUUUUGCCUUUCUAAUUCAAGUUUUUACCAUUAUUUUUAUUUAUAUUAUUCAUUUAUUCCUUAAUUUUAAUUGUUCUUUUACUCACUCUAUAAUCCAUCACCAUUCUUACACAUUCCGCACGAUUGUGACAUUAGAGGGAUAACAUAGCCAUGUAUUGGAAAAUUUGUUGAAGGAAUGACAAGCCUUUUUGGGCCUCAACAAAUUUAAUGGAUUUGUGCGUUGUUGUGACUUAUCAUUUUAUGCGACUACUGUUAAUGAAAGACAUUUGUCGAUAACCAACAAAAAUAAAUACAACAUAGAAAGCGUUUUUUUUUUUUUUUGGAUUGUAGUUUUUUUCGGAAGAGGUUUCGAUUCAAUUUGAGAAACGGAAAAAGAUGUCAAUUCUUUUAAUGGAUCUUGACAAUAUGGAAAUGUGCAGGUCUACUAUUGUUGCAUCAAAAGAUGACGAAAAGAAGAAAUGCAUCUAUGAUGGUUGAAUUCAAUUUGCAUUCAAUAACGUUUUGCAUAAGGGAGACAAAUUUUUUUGCAAUCUUAGUUUGCUUUGAAUAGCUUAUUUGUUGAGUUAACUAUAGCAACUUCGUAGAGUUGGAAGAAAAUUAAAAUAUUACGUAUUUUAGUUGACGUUUGUCUAUCGUUUUUAUGCUUACUUUUGAACUAUAUGUAUUAUGUAAUAUAAAUAGAAUUUAGUGAAUAUGUCCUUUGUUUUUUUAUUUUGGAAAACUUGUUGGAUAUUGAGACAAACCUUUUACGACUUUUGGCGAGUUUA